rnacentral:rRNA from 1 species
GAACGGGUGAGUAACGCGUGAGCAACCUACCUUAGUUACUGGGAUAGCCCGAGGAAACUCGGAUUAAUACCGGAUACUCUUAUUUAAUCACAUGAUUUUUUAAGGAAAGGUCAGCCGAACUAAGAUGGGCUCGCGUUCUAUCAGCUAGUUGGUAGGGUAAUGGCCUACCAAGGCUACGACGGAUAGCUGGUCUGAGAGGACGAUCAGCCACACUGGGACUGAGACACGGCCCAGACUCCUACGGGAGGCUGCAGCAGGGAAUAUUGCGCAAUGAGCGAAAGCUUGACGCAGCGACACCGCGUGUGGGAUGACGGAUCUAGGUUUGUAAACCACUUUCAGGAGGGAAGAAAAUGACGGUACC